UACGGAGGAUUCAAGCGUUAUCCGGAUUUAUUGGGUUUAAAGGGUGCGUAGGCGGUCGGAUAAGUUAGAGGUGAAAUCCCGAGGCUCAACUUCGGAAUUGCCUCUGAUACUGUUCGGCUAGAGAGUAGUUGCGGUAGGCGGAAUGUAUGGUGUAGCGGUGAAAUGCUUAGAGAUCAUACAGAACACCGAUUGCGAAGGCAGCUUACCAAGCUACUUCUGACGUUGAGGCCCGAAGGCGUGGGGAGCAAACAGG
rnacentral:rRNA from 1 species